CGGUUGGCUCUCCGUCGGCGUCUCGGUCAGAGGUGGCGUUCGCCGUUCAGCUCGUGCGAUGGUUGGUUUUGGGUGGAAGGCAGGUGGAUCGGCAGUGUGUUUUGGUGGGUUUGAUUUGAGAGAGAAAGGAGGAAGAGAGAGAAAUGGUUGAGAAUAAUGAGGGGGGUAUUUUGGGGUUUAGGUAAAAGUAGUCCUAUUUUUUAAAGAGUUAUAAGUAUUAGUUUAGAUAAUUAAUUUGGGUAUAAAAAAUGCAUAAAAACUCAAAUUUCCCUUGUGAAAUACGAACUUGUGUUCAAACUCUCAAAGGUCAUUUGCAUAAUGUCUCAGCACUUUGUGUUCUUCCUGAGCUUUCUAUAGUAAUCACUGCCACUGAGGAUGGAACUUCACGUAUAUGGCAUACUUUCACUUAUAAGCUUGAAAAUACUUUUAAUUAUGAUCUUGGAAGAGUUUAGGCCGUUGGAUCCAUCAAAGGAAUAAAUCAAUAAGCUUAUUUGUUUAUUUUUAAAAAUUUCCCAAUUAUUUAUUCAUCUUCUUACUUUUAUGGUCUCAUCAUAUAUGCACUAACAUUACUUUUUCUUUCAGGAUUGUCUUUGGUUUUGACAAAGGAUUUUGCAUUAUGAAGAUAAUGAAAGGUAGAGAUUCUAUGUUCAAAGUUGAAUUGAACUUAGUAUAUAUGUUGUUUUAUGAUGUGUUAUGUAAAACAAAUAAUAUUCUCAAUUUUUUUUUAAUGAGUGUUUAUUGUAAUAAUCUUCAUAUAUUUAAAUUAAAAACAAGUAUACCAA